UGAGGAUGUAAAUAGUCAGAUUUUUGGAAGAGUUUUUCGCCUAUACUGUUUCACUUUACUUCUUUCUUUUUUUGGUCUGGUGUGAGGAGACACUGGAGAAUUCGAAGAGCUUGUUUUUGUGACGCUUCUUUGCGGAGGACAGUCUUUUACUUUCCAAUUUAAGGAAUGGAUGUAAGAGUUAUGACUCUAAACAUAAGUGCAGAACACGGAAAUUAUACAGAUAUCGAGAUGAAUUCUGUAUAUUGGAUACCUUUUAAAAUCUCAGCCGCUUCCUGAACACGACAUGACUACACGUUCUCACAGGUGGUUGCUGUCCAGAUGUGUACCCUGUGAUUCAGAUGGUCGUCUUUUGGCCCUGGAGGAAGGUUUUAAAUUUAUUCAACCUUCCAGAUGAUGAUGUGAGACAGUCAGUGGAGGAGACUGAAUCUGUACAUCUCCAGAGUUCAGUGCGUCCGUUCUACUCUGAUCACGAUACCUACGACCCGUAAGACCCUGGUGAAAAGGGUCAGUAUAUAGAGAUGACAAGUAACUACACCAUUACUGUG